CGACCCCAGGUCAGACGGGACUACCCGCUGA
rnacentral:rRNA from 1 species